rnacentral:lncRNA from 1 species
ACGGAUAUAGCGUUAGAUUUCCUUUAACUUCUUUGUUAAAUUAUGUUUAUCUUUACCCAUAAACUCUCUCUACGAGAGAGAAUUUUCUUUUCUUCUUCAUAUUUUCCUUUAGUUUCUUCAUACUGUAAUAAUAAACUAUAAUGUUUUCUUUAUAGUGUUUUUUGAGUGAAGACAAAAAUCUGACAAAAGCGAGACGAUGACAUUGAUUCAGCGACGAGAGAAAAGCGAAAGAGGACAAUGGCGGGAAAGAGAGAUUAAGAAAGAGAGCCAAGGUUCUACGACAACUGUUAAAAAUUUCUUUUCUCCUCAUAUUUUCUUUAAAUUCUCCAAUCGCAUCAAACUGGAAAGAAGUCAGAUCGGGAUUGGAUUCUUCAUUUGUCGAGAAAGAUACUGUCUGUUGUGUCGAUUGGCAGAGAAAACUGCCAGAACAAAGUUUUACCGGUUUACUUUCGAUCAG